rnacentral:rRNA from 1 species
AUUGAACGCUGGCGGCAGGCCUAACACAUGCAAGUCGAGCGAGCGGCGGACGGGUGAGUAAUGUCUGGGGAUCUGCCUGAUGGAGGGGGAUAACUACUGGAAACGGUGGCUAAUACCGCAUACCAUCGGAUGUACCCAUAUGGGAUUAGCUAGUAGGUGGGGUAACGGCUCACCUAGGCGACGAUCCCUAGCUGGUCUGAGAGGAUGACCAGCCACACUGGAACUGAGACACGGCCCAGACUCCUACGGGAGGCAGCAGUGGGGAAUAUUGCACAAUGGGCGCAAGCCUGAUGCAGCCAUGCCGCGUGUGUGAAGAAGGCCUUCGGGUUGUAAAGUACUUUCAGCGAGGAGGCGUUACCUGCAGAAGAAGCACCGGCUAACUCCGUGCCAGCAGCCGCGGUAAUUC